AAAUGUAACAUAGUAAAAAGGGGCUGCUUUCUCCACUAAAAUUUGUGCCCGCCAAUUACGUUUGCCUCCUUGGAUGUAGGUGAAAAUCAGGCAUGCAAGAAAAUAAGGCAUGCAACACUAUGGUAAGGCAUGUUUUGUCAUAAGAAAUAAAAGUAACAUCAAUUAUUUUAAUGCUUUCACUAAAGUACCUUGAUACCAAGAGGGUUAGAAAUUCC
rnacentral:misc_RNA from 1 species